CACUGGCAGCACAUGCAGCAUUCGUCUUGACAACCAUUUGACAACGUAGCCCGUGAACCGGUGUCCCGUAGCCCCGUAGCGACUUCGUCGUGACUGCCUCAGAGAACGUCUAGUACUGCCUUUGCUUGAUUGACGGACGUCGAGGGCGAAACAGAGCGAAGGUGCUGCCUUGCCACAAGUGAUGCAAGCCAGAAAGACCAUUACAUGAAGCAAUGAUGGGCGAACAUAUACAUGGAGAACGAACGAAGUGAUUGUGCGAGCAGGCCAAGUCAGAAAGUUGCAAGGAAGCUAUUAUUGCAACGAAACCAGCCACCGCCGCCUCUAGCACCAUCCAGUUCCCGUGCUGCAAGUGCAGUCGUAACCCCUGUGGAGAGGGACCCGACCCCAAGGAGAAAGUAGGGGCUGACGAGCUGCGUUUAAGUAUGCGUGUCCCCUCAGGAAAAUGAAAAGCAAUCCUGGCUUAAGCAGCCAAAACCACCCUGUGAAUAGCCCGACAACUGAGGCAGAGGAACGAGAAACAAUAGCCCUCGUCGGGUGCCAGUUGUAUUGUGUGCGACCUUGUCCAUCUUUUGCGACGUCAACAGUACUGGCUUUUCUUGUGGAACGUCACACGGGGCCUUCAUCUUUGUCAUAUUAGUGGAGGUGUUGCGAGGUGCUGCCAACUCAAAUGAGCACUCACGCUUACUUCAAAACCAAAUUAAAAUAUCUUAAAGGUAACAUUUGCCACUAAUAAUCAGCCAGAAGUGCCCACGUGUGCAGGACAAUCACACAACACAAACAUCUCGAGGUCUUGAUUUUGGUGUCAGGGGCCUUUUAAACGGAACUAAAAGUAUGCAGAGGGGACAAGAGCCGUACGGGUCCACCCUAUGUGUUUUUAAAAGCUGUAAAUGAUUUAAAGUAGUACUGUGUAUUCUACUUUAGGAGACCGGUAAGCAGUCAUCAUACUUGCAGAAAAACUUUUUUUCAUAAAAACGUUACCAAGCUUAUGUUGAAUGCACUAGUCUUUCUUUGAUGGAAAUGAUUUCAGUAACAUUAUUUUGUCACUGUAUAACCAUAGCAGUAGCGAUCUUGCCAUGCUUUCUUUUGUUCUUCAGCUUUCGAAUAAUAUUCUUCUAUGUGGGAGUGUGUUUUCCCAUCAUUAUGUUUUUCGGUAAACAGAACGAUUACUUUAUUGAAGAGACUGAUGCUGGGACUGUUAGUACAUAGUUCAAAAUCUACAUACGGAAGAAGGAAUUGUACAAGCACAGACACCCAGUGUGUGUGUGCAUUCCAUUCCUUCCUCUUGUGUAAGACUCCUUCAGGCUGAGUGUUGCUCUUUCAAACUAUUUUAGUGAAAUUGUAUGAGCUAUGUUUAUUGCACAAAAAUAAAGCAGUCUUUAU